UUAUAAUAUUAAUUAUUAAUUUAUUAAUUUUAUUUAAUUUUAUUAUUUAUUUAAUUUUAUUUUAAAGCGACCUCUACCCACAACGUGGGGCUCGAACUCACGACCCGAAGAUCAAGAGUCAUGUGUUCUACCGACUGAGCCAGCCAGGUGCCCCUCUAUGAUGUGAUUUUAAUCAGGUAUGGUGAGAUGUCAGACAUGGAGACAACUGCCUUCGAAAGAAGGAUUUAUAACUUGAAAUUCCCAAGGAACAGGGGCACCCCAUGCUGUGCAGAGCCAUGAAGGAAAGCACCAGCACAAGUCAGACAGAAAUAAAAAAGCACCAGCAAAAGCCUUGAUUGCAAUUUUCAGGGGAAAGAAUGAGUUUCAGAUUGGCUAGUAUGAAUAAUGGCAGCAGGCUCUAGCCCGUGGGGUGACCCCUGGUUGUCUGAUUACCUGGCCUAUGUGUGUGUGUGUGUGUGUGUGUGAGAUUAGGGCAGGGGGACUAUUGACUUGCUGCGGGAGGGUUGCAUAAAGGAGGGGUUGGGGGUGUGGGCUUUGAAUUGACCGGUUUGUAUUGGAGAGGCAUGCUGGAAGGCUAGUUGUUUACUGCCUCUAAGAAUUAGCGAGACCUGGGAGGGGCAAUCGCUCCAGGAUUUGCAAGGCCGUAAGACGUGAAAGCAUCGUAAAAUACAGAAAGCGAAAAUAUGAUUGAUACACGAGCCUAACUCUGAACUCCAGCAGAUCGACUGCUGUGUGUGUCGUGUCCCGUACACCCUGCCUGCUUUCACAGAGUUGUCGUGAGGACUCACGUUGGGGCCUGACGUCUGACCGAGAGAUACGGCUCCUACUAGCAGGAGAGCAGUCCGAGGGAAUGAACGGACGGAUGAAUUUCACUUGGCCUUGGAAUUUUAUUUGU
rnacentral:lncRNA from 1 species